ACCUGCUGCCUGCACCUCGCCUCACCUCACCAAGCACCUGUGUUUCACCAGACGUUUACUUUGACACAUUUUUAAGUUUAUAUGUGAAAUGUCUUUGAAACGUCCUCAGCAGGAAUGGUGUUUAGAUCUACUAGAGGUGUGUGAUACAGUGUGGCCAUGCAGUUUGACGGGACGUCAGCUGGCACAGAUUAUUACCCCAUUCCUGUCACAGGGGGAUUGGCCUAUGAGCUUCACCAGUGCCCUAUUGGCCAGCAUUACCUGUUUCCACCUCUCACGACAAGGACGUUAGGGUUGGACUUUGAGAGGCUGGGGUUGGACUUUGAGAGGCAUCUGUAAACUAAAAUAAAAAAAUUAUCUUAGAUCCAUCGUAAUUUUCGCUGACAUAAUGAAAAACUGUUUGACACAUAUUACGUUAGGGGCCUUUAAUAUGGAAACACAAUUUAACCUAUGCCAGUCAACUACUUAAAAUCACCAAGGCAACUAAUGCAGAAGUGUUAAUGUGACAUUGGGAAACACUAUUUUUGUUGUCGUUCAAUCAGAGACAACUACAUGUUGUGCCUUUAAAUACAUUUAAGUCUAUGGAGAACAACACUGGCCAUCGACCCCAAACCACUGAGGGACACACACACACACACACACAGACACACAGUCACACAGACACACACACACACACACACACAUUAUAAAGGUUACCGCUAAGGGUUAAAGAUAAUUAAAGACAGGCUCUUCUUAAAGGACACGACUGAACAGGGGUGGAUGUAGAUGCUGUGUCAUUCAAGGUUGUGUCAAAUCCUCAUAAGAGAGUCAACAACAACAACAACAACAACAACAACGACACUGUGACCUCGGCGCCUCUGUCAGCUGCUCUGUGAUGUCUGUCCAGCAUGACUGAAGCUCUGACUGGGACAGCGGCCGUGGCCAAGGCUGGAGUCCCUCUAGUGCUCUUUGUGACUCUGGAACAUCAUAAAUUGAAAUAACAGCAGCUCUGUGUUUCCUGUGGUCUCUCCCAGAGGAGUGGGAUGGGGGGUCAGUUUGAUGGAUAAGCUGAGACAGAUCAAUAUGAGAUGUGAGAGGGCGGGGGGGGCUCCGAACAGCUCCCAUAGCACAGAAUGCGUCUCUACCCAGGAGUGAUGUAGGCAUGUACACGUUUAGAGAUUACUCACAAUUUGCACUCGCAAUCUCUUUUUUUUUUAGUUUUUGUGGGAACGCUGGAGUACAUGUACAAUGUU
ensembl:lncRNA